UUUCCAGUGGCGGACGGGUGAGUAACGCGUAAGAACAUGCCCUUGGGAGGGGAACAACAGCUGGAAACGACUGCUAAUACCCCAUAGGCUGAGGAGCAAAAGGAGGAAUCCACCCAAGGAGGGGCUCGCGUCUGAUUAGUUAGUUGGUGAGGCAAUGGCUUACCAAGGCGACGAUCAGUAGCUGGUCCGAGAGGAUGAUCAGCCACACUGGGACUGAGACACGGCCCAG
rnacentral:rRNA from 1 species